rnacentral:rRNA from 1 species
UACGUAGGGUGCGAGCGUUACUCGGAAUUACUGGGCGUAAAGCGUGCGCAGGCGGUUUUGUAAGCCAGAUGUGAAAUCCCCGGGCUUAACCUGGGAAUGGCAUUUGGGACUGCAAAGCUUGAGUGUGGCAGAGGGGACUGGAAUUCCUGGUGUAGCAGUGAAAUGCGUAGAGAUCAGGAGGAAUACCGAUGGCGAAGGCAGGUCCCUGGGCUGACACUGACGCUCAUGCACGAAAGCGUGGGGAGCAAACAGG